CACACACACAAACACAUACGCACUCUCUCGCUCUCUCUUUCUCAGACGGACACAGAGCGAAUGGGUGUGCGCAUGCAUCGUCCCACGUCAACCAUCGACGACCAUGUGCAAGACACACAGAAGCAUGUGGCAACGUCUCGGGACAGAAGCCAGCGAGCACAGGCACAGAACUGGAGACGCUGGGAAUAACGGAUCAAGACUUAACUUUUUAUUGGAGUGCACUGUGUGAAAUGGAAACGUCAGAUUUAUCAACGGUCAAGAAAGCUGUGAUUCUUGAUACAAUGUUUAAUGUCACUCUGCCUGAUAUUCAGAGACGGAAAUGAAGUGAGUCUAGAAUCUGAGGGACAGAGAGUCAGGCGGCAUGUAGGAGAUGGUGGUUAAUAGAGUGUGACAGGAGGUGCAUAUCUGAGAUGAACUGAAUCUAGGUGUCGGUGUAAGGAAGAAAAAAAAGCAGUCACCUUGAUGCCCCAUCAUAUCAUAUCAAGCCCAUGCUCUGUGUGGGAGACCUGCGGUUUCUCCUCGAUGUCCCAUUAAACUUUCAUACACCAGUUAAUGCUGAUAGCUUCACAAGACACCUUACUACACGUACACACACAUAGUUCACUAUAGCAGUGGCCCUGACCUGCACCUUCACCGACACAGCGGCAUUAAAAAUGGAACAAAAUGAGUGCAGCUCGCCAUUCAGGUGGAAAGCGUUCUAACAUCCUGACUUUAUGCUGUCUGAUGGUUUGUCUGUUUCAUGACCAUGUGUCAGUUUGUGUGUGAGCCCCCACAGGGGGCUGUGCAUGAAUGCUUGAGGCCUGUUGCAACAUGAAAGAGAAUGAAAACACAGAGGGGGGGGGGGGCAGAGCAGGGGCAGGUGGGGCUAAAUCAAACCAUCCUGCUGUGACCUCUGACCCCGUACAAGGCCUCAACUCAAGAGGGGUCAAGGAGCUGCUAUACCAUUCAAAGAAACGAGUUAACUAAGGGCUUGAAUCAAAAGCCCUAAAACCAGGAUAGUAACAUCUUCAGUGGAGGUUUGGAAGCACAUGUUAGACCUCAAGGGCACCAAACUAGACAACAAGUCACCGAAGACACUUCUGUGGUGUGUCUUCGGUUUUCUGUGAGUGAAAAACCUCCAUUGCUGCUCGCCAAUGCACAAGAAAGAACAGUUGUUGCUGAACUGACCCUGCAUCCUAUUUGGCAACAAACCCCCUUCGUUUGAAAGGACAGCCCCCUUGUACUGUGAUAUCAGAAUGGGAUAAAAUCAGCAUAGCAUUGUGAAUCACUAUCAUCCCGCCAUCUAAGGAAUCCAGCAGAACAUGUCCCAUCGGUUUAUUCCCAUGCUGGCCCCCGGCCCGGGACACAUGCGGCAGCAUAAGGCUCAUCUCUCAGCUCUCAAGCUCAAUCUGGGUUUUGCUCUCUCUACUCGUUUUUCACCCUGUCAUCUACUCUCAUACUCUCACUCGCUUCUCCCUUUCCACAUUUUCUUUUUUUAAAUCUCAUUCUGACAUUCGCCAUUUUUCAACGGGCACAGUGCAAAAACUCCUCCUCCCCAGUUCCCCCGCUUCUUCUCCCCAACUCCCCCUCCUCCCCCCCCUGUGUAUAUCUCUGGAGAUAUGGAAGGUUACAGGUCCCCCUGCGCUCUUUUCCUCUUCCCCCCUCCAUCAUCUCCCUGCAUUGUCACAUGCUGUGCACUGCUGACUGGGGACGGGGAGUAGAGUUGAAGCCCCGGCAUCUCUGGAAUCAUAUGGGCUUGAACUGAUGGGGUAGUGGGAGAGGGAGGUGGGGAUGUGGGGGGGCAGGUGCCCACAAGCAACACUUACGCACCAUUACGCGCGGAUCUGCAAGUUAGUGUAUAUGUAUAAAAUGCCCCCCCUCUCUCCUCCCUCCUACGGGCCUGCUCUGCAGAUCGUCGGUGCGCGAUGAAACGCCAGCAGAAGAAGAGAGGCAGUAAAAGGGCCGAGCAGCUGCUGCGUGUCACAACAACAAAAAAACAAAACAAAAAAACAGUCGAAGCUGGUCUGAGUUGAAGCUCCCUCACACAACGACAGUCAGCGACACACACACACACACACACACACACACACAUACACACACUGAUGCUCCCACCAUGCGUCCUUUUAUUCCGCUUCAGCGCAGAUGAAACGCAGACGUCGCCCCAAUAACCCCCCCCCCCCCGCCUCCUCCUCCACCGCCCGGACUCCACGCUCCAUCCGCGACAGGACAGCGAGGUGUGGUGCACUAAACGAGCCUAUUUCCACCGCGUGUUUACGUGGGUCUCGUCCGCGAUCCACCGAGAAACACUUGAGCGCAAACAGAGAUGUUCGGCGCGCUGAGAGCGAAGUCGCGGAUAAACGUUACGAGUAAAACACGAGGUCACAAACGGUAGUGAAAUAAAAAAAGAAAACGGAUGAAUAGGUGUGUGCUUCGCGUCUCUUUUCUCGCACGUCCGUUCUCCUCCGUGCAGUUCCACUCGCCUUUCUGUCUCCCCCCUCUCCUCGCUUCCACCGGCCCAGGAAUCGAUCUCCGCAGGAUCGAUAAGUUGCCAUGAAUAUUCCCUGCCUGCCGAGAGUCUAGUUGGGGAGAGACGGAGGUUUGGGCUCAGGCGCAGGCAGAGGAGGAGAGGCAAAGGAUGGGGGGGGACGGAGACACGAGGGAAAUAUACUACAUCGGAGAAAAGGCGCGUACAGUCGGCGUGGAAACGGAGCGACGCUCGUUCCACGGAAUGGACUGAAAGGGGGGAAAAAACGGGACAUUUUACGCAAUUCAUUUUGCCGCCCGGACACUCCAGCGCGCUCGGGGACGCUUCCUCGUUUCGUAAAAGGACUCCGUUUAAGCCUCCGAACCGGGAACCGGAGGAUUUCGUGCGCCGGUAUGACAUCCGCAGGUCCAAUGACGGAGAGGAGGGGGAACGGAGCGAGAGGAGGACACAGAGGAGAGGAAGAGGGGAGCCAAAGAAGGGAGAUGGAGGGAGAGCGGUGGGGAGUAAGGACGGGGGGAAGGAGAGGAGGGAAACUGAUAGAAAGGAGCAAGGCGAGGAAAAUAGGAAAGAAUGAGAAGAAGGGAGCUGAGGAGAGAGGAGAAAUAAGGAGGGAAUGGAGAAGUGACUAGUUGUCCUUCAAAGACCCCCUUCUCUCCACAGAGGGAGCCAUGCGCGCCCCCUUUCCCUCCUCCCUACACUCCUUCCAGACAAAAGCAAUUAUUUCUUGUAGAAUGUAGUGUGGUUGUGCGCGUCUGUGGAAGAGAGGGAUGGAGGGAGGGUGUGUGAGAUUGGAAGAGGGGAAAAUAAGAUGGUGUUGGAGGGGAAGAGGAGGAUGGGGAGGUGAGGAGGAGGAAGAGGAGGGAUGCUAACACCUACACCAUCCACCCCUUCGUCCUCCACGCACUAUUCAGAACAAACUCUUCUCUUUCUUCCUCUCUGACACGGCCGCAAAGACAACGUAACCGAAGACCAUCAACUAGGUCAUCACACGUGUAAAAAGACACCGUGAAGCACCUGCGCGUGAAUUUCAGAUGAACCAGCCGACUAGACCUGCAGUAGGAAGAUCUAAAAACUUUUAACGGAGAAACAAAACUCUCUUUUUAUUUCUCUGACCGGCCUUUUUUUCUCUCCCCAAAGAAUAUAUUCAAACACAUCAAACAGAAAUACGCGGAGCUCUAUCUUGUUUAUCUUUAAUUCUGUCCAUCCGUCUGUCACCUAAAUUCAGCUGACGGCGUGCGUUUCAUGCUUGGCGCCUAUAGGAACCCUGCAGCGAUGUGGUCCCUACAGUCUCCCUCCCCGGGGGCCCAGAGAGACCCGUGGGCCUAAAGAGGGAGAGGUAGAGAGAGGGAGACAUCUCCCCUGGGGUGGGGGGCCAAUAACCCCUGCUGGACCGCUCUCACCGGGGGGCCCACAGGGUGCUGAUUGCCCAGCUCCCUCCCCAUCAAGCCUCCCAAUCCAUACAGAGAGAUACAUAUUGCUGGUUGCAUUGUUUUCUACGCUGUAUCUUCCCCCUGCUGUAUUGAAAAAAUGCUCUCCCAAAAUUCUCUCUCUCUCUCUUUAGCUGUAUUUUUUCCACGUAAAAGAAAUACUGUAAUGGAUGUAAUAUUGGAUGUUGGCAGUUAAGUGCAUUGACUAUAGAUGAUUAUAGAAUAUGUAUCGUGUAUAUUUAAUAUAUCUUCCAGCAAUAAUUAUCAUACUGUUUUUCUAUCAAUUACCAAAUUAACAGUUCUACUUAGAAUCGAGAGCAGUGCUUUAUAUUUUGUAUAUGUUUUACUUUUGGAAUUUACUUUGUUUACUAAAAAUGAUUUGCAUUUAAAGAAAAUUCACAUUAUCUCUUGCAAAAAAUAUCAACUACUAAGAGUUUGCUCAUAUUGUCAUUUUCUAUGUAUAUUACAUUUAAUGUACAGAUUAUUGCAAAUUUUCCACGCAGUCUAUAUUAUAUGGAAUGUUAUUGAACAAAAAAGUUAAAAUGUUGCCGCCUUUUUUAGCUUUGCUUUGUAUUGUUAGCAAAGAACAAUUACAAAAAAGUGUUUUAGUCUUCAUAUUUUAUUUAUACUGACAACUGUUAUUGUUUGAUUAUCAGAUGCAAUUUUAAUGAAAUGCAUUCAUUUCAAUGUUGAUGUUUUUUUCCUGCAUUUGAAAAUGAUGAUUUGGUUGAAUUGUUUUCUCCUAUAAUUGUUGCAAACAAAUUUAUUCAUAGAAAGCAAUUUGUUCAAUUCCUCACCACAACAUGUUUUCCAUGUCAUGUGCUGUAGGUCAGAAUGUGGCAUGAAAUAUUUAUCCAAUCAGAAAGACCCAGAAGUAUCCUGAGGCUAUACAUUAGUCAUAGCAUGGACCAUGCAUUAGCCAUAUAGUUUAUUGCAUUCUUGGUAAUUACCUGUAAUUCAUUUUGAAUGAUUUAUUUGAAUGGUUAAAAAAACAGCGUUUGAAUAUUGAACAAAUGUUUUUUAUUGUAAAUGAUGCAAAUGAAGCAGCAAGUUCUAACUGAGCAAUGAUUUGUUUGCCUCCAUAAAACAGCGCAAAUCUGUCA